CAUGUAGGCGGCUUAAUAAGUCGAGCGUGAAAAUGCGGGGCUCAACCCCGUAUGGCGCUGGAAACUGUUAGGCUUGAGUGCAGGAGAGGAAAGGGGAAUUCCCAGUGUAGCGGUGAAAUGCGUAGAUAUUGGGAGGAACACCAGUGGCGAAGGCGCCUUUCUGGACUGUGUCUGACGCUGAGAUGCGAAAGUCAGGGUAGCGAACG
rnacentral:rRNA from 1 species